rnacentral:lncRNA from 1 species
UCCGCGGGACGCCUGCCCAACUCUCGCCAGGACUCACUACAAUCCAUCAUUUAAAAGCCCGAAAUACCUUAAGUAACUUCAAUACAUAAUUAAAGUACUUCAAAUAUCUCACACUUACAAUUAUACAGCUUUCAAGCUUAAAUACAAUCCAACGGAAAAGGGUACAAUAGCCAUCCGUUAUAAUAUAACUUAAAAUCUUCAAAAGAAAGCAAUCUAGUACUACUCACGAGCACCCUUGGUCUCGAACCCUGUAAAAGAAAACCACAACGUGGGAUGAGCUACACAGCCCAAUGAGGUUUCAAGACACUCUAACAGUUCAAAUAAAUCAAGUAGAUUGGGCAUAUCAUAUGCAUGGUUCAAGGUUACACAAUGGCAUGUUAUCAUGAGGUGAUAAUCAUUGUACGGGUAAUUUGAGACAUUAUCAUGGUAUGAGACAUUUAUCAUGAGACAGUUAUUAUGGUUCAAGACAUUGGCAUAUAUAGUUCACGAGUGAUUGGAGCUUAUUACAGGCAUAGCUCAGGAUUUCAUAUUGUCAUUUUAGCAUGAAACAAUUAUCAUGAUACCAGGUAAACAUAUACUGUAGGAUACGGUGUUCCAGUGGAACUCUGUCGGUCAUCUGCACCUUAUGACUUCCGGAUCCCCACGGUACGGUCUGGCCAUCGCCUUAUCCCUCCAGUGGUAAUACUCGAGUAUACCGAAACGGUGGCCCAGGGUUCUGUGACGCCCCGAAAAGUAUGAGUAUGAGAAUCCGAAAAUUUUUUUUUAAUAUAUUUUCUAGACGUUAUUUUGUUUCCUUGUCUAUAAUUUUGUACCUUUCUUCAAUAUAUUCAUUUCUUAUACAUUUUUAUAAGGAAAUAUAGUUUUCAAAUCAUUUCCUUGAUACAAGUUAGUCCACGUUAAGUUUGAAGUGUAUUAUGGACGUGGGACCCGCUAGUGCGGUAAAUGUGGUAUAUUUUUGACAACUCAUUGGAGUUAAUUGUAAAGAUUAAAAGAAGUUUGGGCCAUAGUGUGACUUUGGUUGAUUACAAGUUGCUAGACUUCCUAAAGGUUCCAUGAUAUUCCUAAGCUUAAUUUUCAUUGGCUAAUCAAAAAGGUAGUGGACUUUGACCAAGGGACUUAGUUAAUAUCUUCUUAGCAAGACCAAAGGCCAAAACAACAAGGAGAAUUUCAGCCAGCUCUAGGGAGAAAAGAGGGGAGAAAAACCAAGAGAAAAUAAGAGAAAGAACAAGAAAAAAUUCUGGUUUUGUGCAACCCAUCCAACAAGCUUGGGAGUUAGAGCAAAAGAAAGCUAAUGAACUUGGUUCUUGAAGUGCAGCCUUGUAAACCCACCUUUGGAAGGUAAAGCAGCCUUGAACUCUUGUAAAAGCUUAUAGCAAUUGGGUAGAAAUGUUGUUUUUGAUGUUGUAAGAUGCUAAUAAGGCUUAAUGAUGGUUUAUAUAUCACUUUUGUGGGUUUGUGUGGAAGAUUUGGUGAUUUCUAUGGUUGUUGAGAAAAUUCCAGAAUUGAGAUUUCUUAUGGUUCAGUUCUGUCCGUUUCUGUUUGACCAGGUUAGAGGCCGAAUUGGCCUUAGCACAAAACAUAAAAGUUGUAGAUAAUGAUGUUUUAUAGUUACCUGUAAAUUUUCAGCUCAAUCUGAGCUCGGUAUCCUGUGAAAAGACCAAAAUACCCUUGCUACCCUGUUUCUGUCCGAAACUGAUAAUCAGCUUUGGUAAUUGGUUAGUUUGACUGGGAAUACUACUGAUUUAGUUGUUGAUGUAUUCUUAAGAAUUCUAUCCCUGUAUCUUAGCUUUCAAAUGGCUUUGGAAGUACCUAAAUUGGAGUUGUGUGUGCUGAGAUAUGAGUGAAUAAAGCAAGACUACUAGUUGAUUUCUGCAGUGAAUUUCGAACUGGAAAAUCUGGAGUUGUUUUGGAAAAUUUGACCUAGUUAGGGUGAGAACUGGACUGAGUGGUCUUCAUGAAAGUUAUAGGGAAUGAUAUUUUAGAGGUGUCUGCAAAAUUUCAGGUCAAUCGGAGUAGCGUAGCUUGAGAAAAGUCGAAAUUACUAUUGCUGUUCUGGUUUUACCCGAAUGUAAGAAUUGCUCCUGUAAUUGGUUGUUUUGGUCAGGAUUGCUUCCGAAUUAGUUGUUGAGGCCUUCUGAUGAAAUUUAGCCCUGUUUCUUAGCUAUCAGCUGGUUUUGGAAUUUCUGGAUUUGGACUUGGAGAGCCUGAGUUAUGAUGUUUCCGGUAGAAUGCGUUUUAUGAAUCUGUUUUUGUGAUUCUGGUGUCGUUUCUUGCAUUUUUGACCUAGUUACACUCGAAACUGGGUUGAGUGACCUUCUGUAAUAUUGUAGCCCUAUCUCUUAGCUUCGAAACGAUGGGUCUUGCACCUUCAUCCGACAAUGGUAGUGCCUUUGGUGCCAUUACCGCAAAAGGAUGUCAAAAGCUAUUUUUCUGGUUUUGAGCUUAACUUUCAUUUCCAGACUUUUUCCUAGCUUGACUUGUCUUUGUACUACUUGGAACUUGCUGAAUGGCUAUUGGAUGAACUUGUUGUUGUAUGUGUACCUUUGGGACUGGCUGAAGAUAUAAUGAAGCCAUGAUGGCUGGGAAAGUAAGCAAAUUUAGGGGAAGUGCUGUUCGAAGUUUUAAAGGGUUUGAUUGCAUUGAGUUUGUGAUCUAAGACUUGGAUUUGAGCAAGGCAAUGAUAUAUGAUGGAUGGUUUCUGAGCCAUGGAGGUGAGUGACCCUAAACUGUUUCCAAAGUUACUUAUGAACCGUUUCUUGCACUAUUUACUUGAUUGCAUAUCAUGAGUGCUUGCAUGUGGCUCAUGACAUAUUUUGGCUUAAAUGAGUACUUGGAAUUCGUGUGCUGAACACCAACGUCUCCACCUCUGUGUACUGUUCAUCUGGAGCAAAUGGCUUCCCCUCUGACUGUUUACUGUUAAAUGUUUGUUUGGAGCGUUGGGUGUUUAAGUACAACGAUUUCACUGGCUCACGAGAGCAAUAAAUGUACAUUUGAUCUUAGAAUCAUGACAUCACUGAAAUGAAUGACUGUGAAACUGAUUUGAUUACUGAUUUUAAUGGUUACUCGCUGAGCUUCUAGCUCACCCAAAAAUGUUUUAUUUCCCCCCAUAGGGCUCAAGGCGAAAAAAAGCUUGGAGUGCUUAUUCACGUGACUUGAUGGCUUAUAUCGUGUACAGUUUAAGUUUGGAUCUAUUUUAUGUACGAGUUGGUCUUGUAUAAAUAUUUGAAAUUGAUAUGGAUGUAAGUAUACGUUCCACGAUUGGAAUCAGUUUCCGCUGCAUUUGUAAUAUGUAAUCAUUGGAGAAUUUGAUGUAAUUUUUGAGAUUUAUAUUGUAAUCUGUUUGAGGAAUGUAGUGAACGACUGAGUCCCGGCGAGAGCUGGGCAGGCGGCCCGCUGAACCCUUUUGGUUCGCCUUAGGGAGAGGUGGGGCUGUUACAGGUUCCAACCUACCCGACCGAGCCCAGUCCUGGCUCGAGUAGGUCAGUAACCAAGAGCAGGGCCCAAGUUCAGCUUAGAGCUUACAACAUGCAUAGGUAACCAAGUAAUUCGACAAAAGGUAAAAUUCAUCAUUUGAGUAGGUCGAGUGAGGUAAAGUACACACUCGCCUAAUAAUGAUGGACAGCUUCAUACAACAUGUGAUUCAUGAUAAUCAAGUAAUCAAGUAGAUACUUAGCACGUAAGCACGUAAGCAAUACAAGUUGAUUUCAUGGGAGCAUGUAAUUCACGGAUAUCGAAUAGUCAUGUAGAUUGGAAAUCAUGUGAGCAAAUAGUCAAGUAAUCAAGUAGUCAUGUGGUUGGUAAACGGUUCACGGUUAACGGUUGACGGUUAACGGUUAACGGUUAAGUAGUGACGGUUAACUGAUAGGCAUUUGUCAUAUGAAUAGGCCAUCAUUGGCCGUUAUCCCAUUUUUACCAUGUGAGAGUCGAGGAGAUUCAUUCCAACGACAUAUGCAACCUUAGCAUACCAAGUCAUGUUAUUCGAGCAUUUCCAAGCAUGAGUUAUUCAUCUCAGAAGAGAACGAGUGCGAUAAAGUGCACACUCAACUCCAUUUCUCAAAAUCAAGUAGGCUAAGUAAACAAUCUAGCAAGUUAAGCAUGCAUCGAGUUCAUAUGGUCAUUUGAUAUGGUUAAUCAUUUAACCAAUUCAUGUAGAUAUACAAUGCAAGUAUACAUUCCUUAAAUAGGUAUGAGUAUGGUAAAUACUUAACACAUAGCACUUAACACUUAAUAAUCAUGAAAUAAGCGUGUCCUAGACUUAUUCAAUUACGUAUUCCUAUAUGGAACACUCACCUAGUCAAAACAAGCGAGUAGUUUUCAAACAAGCGUUUAGGUGUCCGCUCCGAGUUCCUCUUGGAGAUUCCCUCGAGUGCCUGAGUAAACAAUAAUCAAGUACCACUCAAUAUCACUACGAAUCUCUAAUUAUCGAGGAAGAUUGUACGCUACUGCAAUCUAAGGAAAUCUUAUGAAAAUGAACCUCAAUUACUCGUAAAUCGAGGUUCAAGAGUAAAGUUUUAAAGUCUAAAGAGAGAGACUAACAUUUUCCAUGAAAUCGAGUUCAAAAUGUUCAAUCGGUAUCGAGAAAAGAAGGCAAGUUUCCAAAAUCUCAUUUUCUAAGAAAUUGACAAAUUUCAGCUUUGGGUGUCAAUUUAGAAAAUUCGUAUCUUGGACUAUGUAGGUCUAUAAUUAGAAAGCUUGAUACCGUUGGAAACUUCUUCAUAAGCACUAAAAGUUCCUAGAAGAUACUUUUCCAUGAUUCCAAACGGAAGAUAUUCAAAAAUUGACUUAGAGUUGCUGCUUGGGACCAUUAUGACAGUUUCGGGGUUGGUUUUUGACCAACUUUGAAAAUCCAGUAAAAUUCACACAAUACGAACUAGCCUCCGAAAUUUAGAACUCAAUUAGAGCUACAAUCAAAGUUUAAAACAAAACAAACGGAACAAGAAUCAAAGUUUUGAGCGCCAAGAUAUAGCAGCUCAAAGUUGGCUAAAAUUUCCUCCUCGAUCAAGAAUUUCCAGAUUUAAACAUGAACUUUGGGACGUUGGUUGAACACUGAAACGGACUUGGAAUGGCACCAAAUUUAGCAGUAUUACACUACCAUAUAGGGGUUAUUCCUCUGCAAAUUUUCAACCAAAAUCUAGCACGAUGAGUCAAUUAACAAAACUGUUGAAGUUUUCAAGAAUUUCCAAGGCAAUCUGCCUCGUACCUUUGUUUUCCUUUUCUCAAACAUUUGGCCACUAAAAACCUCUCAAAUAUGGUUCAUUUGCGUAGAUAAUGUCUAAGAAACAUCCAAGCUGUAUUUGGUAGGUGAUUUAUACCAAGAAUUUCGAAUGACAAGUCCCAAGUCAAGAUUGGCUAAUCGGCUAAGAGAAAAGGAAAAGUUUUCCAGAUUCGAAGAUCAAUUUCGGGGCAUCAUUUGCAUAUCAAAAUGGUCUUAGAAUAUCACCAAAUUUUGCACAAUUAAACCUCCAUAUGAGGACCACUCCUCUAUCAAAUUUCAUUUGAAAAUUCACACGAGAAGGUAGUUAACUAAACCAUCAAAGUUCAAGAAAUUUCCCAAGGCAAAACUGUCUUCUAGCUCUUCUUUCUUUUUAAACAUUUUGUCCAAUGCAACCAACCCAAAUCUGGUUUAUUUGUAAAACAAAGUCCAAGGAACAUCUAAUAUAAAGUUUGGUAGAUGUUGGACAACAAAGUUUCCAAAACAACAAGUCCCAAAUCAAGCUAGGCCAUUCAACUAGUCAAAAGAGGAUUUUUACUCACUGCAUCAGUUUCGAAAUAUGGCCACAACUCACUCAAUUCAACUUGGAAUUGAGCUUGGUUGAUGGCGUUCGAAAGUUCUCUCAUAAAGCUGAAUUUUAUCAGAAGAAACCAUUUUGAAAUUCUAUCCACAAACAGCUCGUUUUUGAGCAUCAAGAUACAAGUCCUGUCCUGUCUCCUGGAGAGAAACGAAACAGGACAGUGAUUUUCAAUCGAAUGGUGUGGCUCCCUCAAGUGGAACCAGAACAUGAAUUUGGUACCAAUGGAAAGCUGGGAAUGUCUAGUUUCCAGUGCCACAAACGGCACUUAAUUUUGACAUCGGAAGAAUGAGUUAUGGCCGAUACAAAAUGACUGCCUGGGCAAUACGGGAUUCAUUUUCCAGUUUUGCUAACUUUGGAAAUCAACUCAUUUGACCAACCAAAUCAUGUUAUUUUUCAAUGAAAUUUUGUACACACUCACACUAACAUGUAAACAAUAUAAUCAAGUCAUUAGAGCUUCAAAGGUUUGCACAAAAAUGGUCGGACAAGGCAGGGGUAAAACGGUCACUUUUGCUUCUUGCACCCAACGAAGUUUCUAUCAAUUACACACCAUUAAUCCAUCAUUUUAACCACUAAACCAACAAUAUAUCCACCAUCAAUCAUCAAAUCAGCAACAACCCAAGAGUGGAAGUUCAUAGAGCCCAUUUUCACAUUUUAUACCAUAAACAAGACUACCCACAUGAUUAUAUAACCUUAUAUGUGCAAUGUAUCUUACAAAAACUAAGAUCUAUGAGUUGGAUGAUUUGCUACCUUCUUGGAUGACUAGAUCAGAAAUUUUGGUCACUCUUUGCUCCAGAAAACCGUGACUUUUCAGCUCCCUUUUGCAGCUCAAAAUACUCCUCAAGUGUUAUACUAAGUGUGGGUGAAAUUUGAAGUGAAUUAGAGAAGAUUUGGUGAAGAUUUGAUGGAGGAAUUUGAAGAACUCUUGAGCUGUUUUUCUUGCUU